GUCCAGCCCUAACAGUGUGUAUAAAUAGCAAACAGCGGUUCACUGCCGGACAGAUGACCUUUGAUCAAGCUUCUGAUGUGAACUGACACUUAUUCUGCAUUAUAUAUGUACACUAAACAUUGUUUUUUGGUUUUUGUUUUUCUGUUAGAGUAAUAUUUUAAUGUUCAUGGCAAACUUCUAAUUCAUAUCACAAGCAUCAUUUUAUGAAUUUGUUACCAUUUAUUAGGCAAGAGAACAAAGGAGUUUAACAUUUAAAUGGGUUACACUUUAUUUCGAUUGUCCACUUCUACUAACUGUAAUUAACGACAUGCUAACUAACUGUCAUCAGAGCGUUUGCAGACUGUCAGGUUACACAGUAAAUUACAGUCAGUAGAUCAUCUGUUGACUGACCAUCAAAUUAAAAUUUUAGUUUUAAUGUUUAAUGUUUCAAUGAAAACAAAAACGAGUUUUCCUGUAAAUGGACCUCGCGCUCGACGCCUCUAUGACGCGCCCAGUGUGCGCGCGCGUGAUCUCACCGCGGGAGCGCGCCAGAAGACAGACGUGCGCGAGCUCAUGAGUUUAAUCUUAUAUUUUUGCCCCAGAAUGAACAAUACCAGCGAGAAUGAGCCCAACAGCCCGGAAGAAGAGGUCAGGACUCUGUUUGUCAGUGGUUUGCCGCUGGAGAGCUUUACCUGUUAUUCAGGCCUUUUCAGGGUUACAAAGGAUCCUUAAUCAAAUUUACCUCUAAGCAGGUGAGAAAUAUGAAUGAUUCCUCCAAGUAUAUGAAUCACAAGGAUUUAAUGAAUAUUAUACCUAUGUGACACAUUCAUAUUCUCAAUGGACCCUUUUUACUGUUCCAGGGAUGUCUAAAGUCUCAUAAAAUCAUCCUAAACUCGGUCUGAGACCGCAGUAAAGAUAGUUUGUGGUUUGAUAUUCAGAUUUCUUUUGGCUAUAAAUACGCAGUGCGCUGUCAUAGACAUGCAAAUAAUACCGAAUCUCAUUCUCUAUGAUUUGUGAAUUCAGGUGACGCUGUUCUUCGGGUAGAAAUCAGGGUUUUUUUCGUAGUGACUCUUAAUUGUAUAAUGCCUAUAGCUCCAAAAGUGGGACACUUAGAGGAAUGAAACCGGUGUCAUCUUCAGCAGCUUGAUCUGGGAAUGUUUUCACAGCAAAGCUCUUGUCUGUGAACCCCUUGGUAAGUCCAUCAGUAAGAAAUGAGAAAGAAAGGCGUUCUUCAUGUUAAACGUCUAUUACCAAUAAACACGCAGACUGCUGGAAUACAAGAACAUUGUUUUAGGAUGAGCUCGAUUUGUGAAAACUUUCACAAUAGCAUUUUAUCGCGUGGCAGUGUUUCUCUUUGCUCUGUUUUGUGUAAUAUUUCAUAUGGUUGCUGUUCCAGUUGCUUGAGUACUUGGGUUCAAUAUUCUGAUUUGCCAAAGUUUCAAAGUUUUCACACUAACAUUACUAUUCUGAUCCGUGUAAGGUUUCAGAGAUCAGAAUAGUGCUGUCCAUGACUCGGGGAAGCCGUUAUCUGACCAUAACUGCACUGUGAACGUUUUCACGAAUCGAAACAGUGAUGUAAAUGAAUCAGGGAAUAGUUAACUGACCAAAUAUUUAAGAUCAGAAUAGUUAAGAGAUCAAGAAAGGGUUAACUGACAAAAGCUAAACUGUGAAACUUUGGCAAAUCAUUCCUCUAAGUGUCCAACUUAGGCAUUAUACAAUUAAGAGUCACUACGAAAAAAACCCUGAUUUCUACCCGAAGAACAGCGUCACCUGAAUUCACAAAUCAUAGAGAAUGAGAUUCGGUAUUAUUUGCAUGUCUAUGACAGCGCACUGCGUAUUUAUAGCCAAAAGAAAUCUGAAUAUCAAACCACAAACUAUCUUUACUGCGGUCUCAGACGUUUUAUUAGAAGCACAAUCUCAGCGAUGUUAACCCGAUGUUGUCCAGUCUAACUUUCAUGUUGGUUUGAGAAAGCUUUUUGAAGAAGUCGUGCAGCCUGUCAGGUGUUCUGCAUGGUUGCUAGGUUGUUGCUAUGUGGUUGCUAAUGUGCACUAGGUGGUUGCUACGGUUUGUUCUGCCAUGGUUGCUAAGAGUUUGACAGGAUGUUACUAGUGUGUUCUAAGUGGUUGCUAGGUUGUUGCUAUGUGGUUGCUAAUGUGCACUAGGUGGUUGCUAGGUUGUUCUGCAUGGUUGCUAAGAGUUUGACAGGAUGUUACUAGUGUGUUCUAAGUGGUUGCUAGGUUGUUGCUAUGUGGUUGCUAAUGUGCACUAGUAAAUGUUUAUAGUUUGGGUAUAAACCCUUCUUCUCUACAAUAGCAAUCAAAAUGAAAGUAUAUUGACUCUUGUAUUGUAUGUAUUCAUUCAGGAGACUCCAACUGUGAAACAUGGCUUUAUGAAUUGAUAUUGAAAACAUAUUUAAUCAUUGAGGAUUUCUUUUAAAAAGUCUAAAAUUCUUGUCUCGUCUCAUUCUCGUGAAUCCAGUUCGUCGUCGUCUCGUCGUCGGUAGGGUAGUGUCUCGCACCACCCGACGUAUAUAUAUAUAUAUAUAAGAAACAGCGUCACAUCAUUUCUCCAUGAAAGAAUCAAGUCCUGACUGCCAUUAUUGUCUUGAACGUCCUGUUUCACAUUACAGUAAGUACAAUGCGCUUUGAAUGUCAUUUCAGUCGUCUCUGUUUCACAAUAGUUAGGCAUGUCAUGAAUCUGCUGUUCUGAGCAGUUUGAAGAGCUUUUUCUUCUCUUUACAUUGAUUUCUUUGUGUUUCUGCAGCCGGUGGGGUUUGUGAGUUUUGACAGUCGCUCAGAAGCGGAGGCUCCUUGUGUGGUGAUUUUGACAGAAGACACUUUUACACACACAUAAGCGCUGCAGUCUUCACACACACAGAGUCACAUUUCUGUAUGAAAUAGUAGAACAGUGCAGAUUUGAGCAGUUGUGGGAACUCAAGUGUGAAUCUAUCCAGAAGCGCUUUUGCCCUGAAAUCGAGACAAUCCAUAGAUUAAAGAGCUUCACCUGCCUCUCUCUCUCUCUCUCUGGUCUUCAUUGAUCAGGAUGUGGUUGUAAUCUCAGUGUGAACAGGAGAGAUUGAUCUUGAGAGGAUUUGAGCUCUGCAGUUAAUAAAUCUUAAAAUUACAUUUAGGGUUUUUUUUUUUUUGAAUAUGAUAGACAAGAAAAAGAAAAAGGUAAGUACUAGUAUUAGUUGGUUAAGUGCAGGCGAAAAAGAUGAGUCUUUAGAUGUUUUUUGAAAUUGAGUAAAGACUCAGCUGUUUGAAUUGAGAUCGGGAGGUCAUUCCACCAGCUGGGAGCAGUCCAGGAAAAAGUCCGUGAGAGUGAUUUUGAACCUCUUUGGGAUGGCACCACAAGGCGUCGUUCACUUGCAGAGCGCAAACUUCUGGAGGGUGCAUAAGACAGAACUAGUGAGUUUAGGUAAGCUGGCGCCGUGCCAGUGGUCGUCUUGUAGGCAAGCAUCAGUACCUUGAAUUUGAUGCGAGCGGCUACGGGUAGCCAGUGUAACCUGAUGAGGAGAGGAGUAACAUGGGCUGUUUUUGGCUCAUUGAAGACAACCCUCGCUGCUGCAUUCUGGAUCAGUUGUAGAUGUUGCCUAUAUACGUAAAUUAAAGGUUUUAAAAUAAAAUGUUAAUUGGCACAUUACUAAAUUAAGUUUUUUUUUUUUUUAAAUGUCAGGAUAAGUGUCAAUAAUUAAACAAGUAGGUUAUAUAUUCAGCUAAUUGUCAGCCUCUUAUGCUUCUCGUAAACAAUUAGUCAGUAUAAAUUAAGACUGCCCUCGACUAAAGAUUUUAAGCAGAAGUCGACUAUUAGUCGCACUUUUAUUAAUAAAUCAAAAUAAUGAGAUUUUAAUUGCCUACAUAGGCUAAUAAGCGCUCAAGCGCACGCAAAAAAGGCUUCCCACAGCGAACCGAAAUAUAGUAAUUAUGAAUGUGUUAUGAAUUUUGAAUUCUUGUCGCUUCAUAACGUUACGGUUGAAUCACGGAUGACAGAUGGAGUAUUCUGAUAAUGCUUUUCACUCUUUCCUGGAGCUUGACACUGUUAUUUAUUUGGCAGUCUAUGGGACAGUCUCAAGCCUCCCUGUCUUCAUCCAGAACAUCUUAAAUUGUGUUCAGAAGACGAACAAAGCUUUUACGGGUUUGGAACGACAUGAGGGUAAGUGAUUAAUGACAACAUUUUCAUUUUGGGGUGGAGUAUCCCUUUAAUAAAAAGUGUUUCUGCAUCUGUACUAAUGAUAAUAUCACAAAUAUUUUAUUUUAUAGUCCAUGAAUUUAGAUGACCUGUAGUCUGUUACUGUGGUUUUUACUCUUCUUUACUCUGUUGAUGUGAUCUCAGGCUGCUGUGAACCACAGGACAAUCCGAACCUCCACAUGAGCAGACCUCCUCGCUCCCUGUUCCUUCCCUUCUUACAUUGUUUGUCAAGUUUAUUAUAGUUAAUAUAUUAUGCAUGAAUUAUGAUUAUUUAUAAUGUUAUUCUUAUUGGUUCAAUCAAUAAUUACUGUAAGUUCUGAUGGGGUUGAUGCAUUAUGCCUUGCAAAAAAGAUUUCAAUAUUUACACAUUUUUAGAUAUCAUAUUGCAUAUUCUCUUUUUUAAAUCAUAAUUAUUAUUCUUAAGGAGCAAAAUAAGUAUUUUUAUAAUGAAUGAAAUGAAAUGUUUUCAGUGCCAUUUUAGUGUACUUUCUAUAUGUUUUUAUUAUAUGUACAAUAAUGUUUUUGAUGGCUAUGAAUGUUUUAUUGAGCUUUCAUUAACCUGCUUAUAUCAUUAAAAACACUUGUGAGAGGUGUUUGAAAACAGGCUGAGAGACUCGUUUAAUGUUUAAAUAUAGUUAAAGAAACUUUGUCCCACUCAGAUGUUCUAAUAAUAGAAACACUUUAUAUUUGACCAUCAAAAGUGUUUCUGAAGCAGUGUUUCUGCAGGCUGGAGAUGUGAUUCAGCACAUCACGAUUAUCAUGAUUGGCAGAUAUGGUUAGGUGAUGUGAUAUUUUAUUUAUCCUAUAUAAAACAUUUGAAGAAGAUAUUUUGUACAUUUCUGAAAGUUUUUUUUUCUCAUAUGUGAGCUGGGUGCAUUUUGAAGGCUGUGUAGGCCUCUGUGCCUGUGCUUCAGAGAUUAAUGAAGGGAGAUAGGAUGAGAUACGGAAAUAGAUAUUGGGCCUCAUUCAUGAAACAUGAGCAGAACAAAUGUUUGUGUAAAUCGUUCGUAAAGCCGUUCUGGUGUAAACUUUCGAAUUCAUGAAAAUCUUCAUAUUUUAAAUGUACGCCUGCCCCCUACCAUGUGUAAAUGAUAUGUAAAAUGCUCUGUGUUCUUUUUGGCAAACUGAUG
rnacentral:lncRNA from 1 species